UAGAUCCCUUUUUUGGUGUCAUAUGAUGAAGCUUCAUAGGGCAGAUUCUGAGCUGAGAAAUUAAAUUUCUCUCCACUGAUACUCUCUCUAUGCCAUCUGAAGACACCCAAGUAUUG
rnacentral:snoRNA from 1 species